rnacentral:lncRNA from 1 species
AAACAGAGAGAAAAGGAAAAGAGAAAAUGAAAUAGCAACGUGAACAAUCCUGAUAAAAAGCUUGCCACAAUUUGACACCAAACAUCAAUAGUUGAAAAAAAACCAAACUGACCAAAAACAAAGACAAGAAGAAAAACAACACAAAACACCGAUAACCCAAAAAUGCCUAAGACUAAUUUCGGCACAACUUAACCCCAGCCAAAUUCCCCAAACUUAAAACUCUCCAAACGGUACAACUUCCCCCUCCUAAUCAAAUUCCUUGAUUUCCUCCUAAAAACUCUCCCAUUAUCCUCCCUUGAUUUUCCCCACCACUUCCUCCUCAACUCCCCAACCAC